UACGGAGGGGGCAAGCGUUAUCCGGAAUUACUGGGUUUAAAGGGUGCGUAGGCGGCUUGAUAAGUAAGAGGUGAAAGCCUAUCGCUUAACGAUAGAAUUGCCUUUGAUACUGUAAAGCUUGAAAGGGGUUGAGGUCAGCAGAAUGUGGCAUGUAGCGGUGAAAUGCAUAGUUAUGCCAUAGAACACCGAUUGCGAAGGCAGCUGGCUCGGCCUACUUUGACGCUGAGGCCCGAAAGCGUGGGGAGCUAACAGG
rnacentral:rRNA from 1 species